GAGAGAUCUUCUUUGGAGAAUUUAAGAAUUCAGGACCAGGUGCAGCUCCUGAUGGACGUGCUAAAUUUGCCAAGCAAUUAACUGAAGCAGAAGUAAAACCUUUCAUUUCUCUUAUUUAUAUUGAAGGUUCUAAAUGGCUGCUUCCUCCUCCCAAAUUGUGAGGACUAUAUUUAUAGCAGGAAGUAUAUGAAUUUGAGCGCAAUGAUGUUUAGGCGUACAUGGCCAUCUACGCCGGAAGAAUCCCUUGUUAUUUUGGAAGGCCUAUCUUAUGGUUUUGGCAUCUUAGUUACCACUUGUAAAUAAGCCAGAUUAGAGUAAUAUAUCUGGUUCUGCAAUUUUCCCAACAAUGAUUUUGCAAUUAUCUCAUUUAUUAGUUUCAUGUAAUUUUUAGUCAUUUUAUAAUUAUUAGCCCAUAAAUACAUGUUUUCUCCCCCAUUGACUUCAAUUUUCCAUUUGAUACAAACCAUAAAUUUUCUUUCUAAAUACUGAUUAAUAAAUAGAAUAUUCAGAAUAAAGAGUGUCUGCGUGUAAUUAUGGAUAUACUAACUAAAUAAGGAAUGAAAACUAACUAAUUAGGAGCCAAUCAGGUGGUGGUCUGGUUGGUCUUCUCUCUUAUGUGAGGAGUGGGAGGCUGCCCUGUGUUGUAUAGUCCAUAGUAUUAUUUCGGUCUAUAAAAGUCUCUAAUGAAUUUAAAAAACUAACUAAUUAGGAAAAAAAAAAAGAUUUUUUAACUAAAAAGGAAAGAUAAAAUCUAACUACAUAAGAAAAUAUCAUUGCCUUAACUAAAUAGGGACAAAGAUACAUAAUAUAUAAGAACAAUAAAUAAAAUUUUAAAAUAAUAUCCUAAGAAAUAAACAAUAAUGCUAUAUAAGAAUUUCAUCCAAAUAAGUUGUGUUAACUGUUAGGUACACAUACACAUGAAAUUUGUAGCUUUGUAGUGUUGCACUCUAGCUAUGACAAUCUUGAUGCAAUAUAAAUUAAAUCUUUCAUAUUUUAUUCAUAGAAAUUUUUGAGGUCGGAUGGCAUUUAAAUAAUGGAAUGUAUACAUCUCAUGAAUUUGCUAGAUUCUUUCAAUUAAUAGAGAAAAAAAAUGAAGUAUGCUACAUGGAAUUAAUAGAUUUCGAGGUAUCCCCAAUUACAUUAAUUUAGAAGAGAGAAAAAUAUCAUCUCAAUGCUGGAAUUUUCUCAAUUCUAUCAUUAUUAAUCAUUUAAUUUUUUUUCCAAAAAUAUCUUUUAAAUUCAUGGAUUAUAUUUUUUCAUUUAAAUAAUGGAAUAUGAAAUUCCAUUGAUUUUACAAUUCAUAAAUUUUAUAUUUCGUGAAUUUGGUAAAUUUUAUGACCAAAUUUCAUCAAUUUAAAUUAUCUCCUUGAGACUAAAAAAGUGUGAAGUAAGACAGAUGUUAAAAGUUUUAACAAUGAUUGUACAUUUGUUUUUUUUUUUUUUUUUUUUUUCUUGAAAACAUUGUACAUUUGUUGUUAAUCUCUUGCAAGUUCCAUGUGAAUUGAAGAUUUUUUUUUUUUUUUUUAAAGUUUCCGAAUGCUAUAAAUAAUAGAAAUUCAUUGUUCAAGAUCAGUACUACAAAUUAGCACAUUCAUUAAAGUUUUAAGAACCAAACUUUAUGAAAUUCAAACAUGACUAUAUUAAAUUCUAGAAUAUAAAAACUAUGAAGACCUCCUCGACCGUAAGAUUCAGAAUCUGACAGAAUUAAAAAUAUAUUCAUGCAGAAGAUGACAAAAAAUGAAUUUUUUAGAAAUUAUUUCGGUAUUUUUUUUUAGUGUACUUUAAGAUCUGGUUAAAGCUCCACUGAUGAAAAUAAAAAUUUUUUAAAAAUUAUUUCUACUUUAUUUCUUUUUUCCUUUAGCUUUAAAGUCUGGAUUUUUUUCUUACAAAAUCAAGAUAUAGUUGAAGAAUAAUAAUUUCUUUGUCAGGUAAAAAGAAAAAAUUGCAACACAUAAUUUUGAUGUAUGCCACACGGCGGAUUUAUGUUCACGACAAAGUUUCUUUAUAUAUAUAGAAAUAAAAGCAGAGCAGUUUGCAAUAUAUAAAGCAAAGCAUAAGUCUAUGAAAUUAUCAAAUGUGAGGAGAAUAACAAUUAUUUAGGACAAUUAUAGUUGGACAAUAAUUAUUUAGGGUAGUUGUAAGAACAUGAGUUAUUUUAUAUUUUCCAAAAGGUUGGAUGAAUUAUUAAAAAUUAAAAUUAAAAUUAAAAUUAAAUAAAAAAUUAAAAAGAGAUACAGUAGGGACCAACAACCACUGUAAUAUAUACUUACAACUUUUUAUUUUUAUUUUUUAUUUUUCAUUUUUCCCACUCAAUUACGCAUCAUGAUUAAAGUUAGGGUUUCGAAACACAGAUUGCGGAAGAUCAGUAAGCAUUUAUCAGGAUUCUGUUAUUCAUGAUUUAUUUUAUAUGGCUGUUUGGCUCUAAAGAAAACCCUGUAAAAAAACCAUAUCAGUUUCCUUUUGUUUGCGGCAAUUAUAAAGUCUAAGUUUUUCUGUUAGCUUUUAUAUGUUUGUUGUGUGUUCAUAAUGAAUGUGAGAUUCUUUUUUGUUAUCUAAUUUGACAUAACGCACUCAAACAGGAAUUAGUUUGCUUUUUAUUUAAAUGUCCUUUUCUUGGUUUAAUAUUAUUUAGAUAUUGGAAGUCCAAGCAAACUCCAGUAUAACUCCAAGCUUGAAAUCCCUUCAUGAAACCCACAUCAAGUUCUUUUUAAUCUAUUCCAAAAAUCUGUCCAUGAGUAGUUAUCCAGUGCUCAAUUUGCACUUGAAACAACAAAGAUUUUUUUUUUUUUUUUUCCACUCCCCAAGUACCUGUUUAUAAAGCCUAAUUCUCCAAAUAAAUAUCUUUCACUUCUAGCUUUCAUAUCAACCCAAAACCAGGUUUCUACAGGUGAAGAAGACAUUCAGUUUACUUAAAAUAUACAUGUGAUGAUGUGUUGCAGUUUUUGGUUUUGCAUACUAAAGACUCUUUUCAUUAAGCUGCUUCUCCUCUAGGAUGUCAAAUUGGCCAUUCCCAUCUAAUAUGGACGUUCAAACGUAAUAUAAUCUAAAUGACUCUUCUUCAUAUUUAGAAAGGGCAGCUUUUAUUCCUGUAAACCGAGGCAUAAAUUAUUAGUUUCACUAACUGGACUGCGUUAGAGUUUAGGCAGUUUUUGCUCUAUACACUCUCAUGUGUUUGCGUUAGAGUUUUUAUUUGCAUCAAUAUUUUUUCCUAAUGGUUCAUCUUUGAUUUCAGGGAGAUCGUAUCCAUGCACUGAUUAGUAAAAAUAUUAUUCGUUUAUUCAAAUCAAAGAUACACGAGUUUAGAUUAUAUUUCAUGAAGAACUUUAUAAUUGCACCAAAUAAUUAUAUAGAAAAUCGUUUCACAUAUAUUUUCUAUGAGUUGCUACUAUUGAUUUUAUAGGAAAAUAACCGAGUUUGGCUCAUUGUGGUUAAUGCCGUACUUUUUUUCCUAAGUAUUAUUAUUUGAUGCAGUUUAUACCAUGCAUGAUUUUUGUUAUGCAUACCCUAGUAAAAGGCUUCACAUGAUACUUAAGAAUCUCUCAAUAAAAUAAAAUUUUGUAAUGCAUUUCAAUGAGAUACUUUAUUAUACAAUUUUAUUAUUUUUCAAUGCUGUUAUAAAAGAUAAUUUCAUCAUUCAAUAUUGCUUCGUGCAUCACGCAAGUUCUUACAUGAAUAAUAUAUAAAAGUAAUGUAGUUUGCCUUAUAUGGUGUAAGUAGCACAAUUUGCCAUUUGACAUUAUUUUGAAUUAUAGAGUGACAGAUGUUAGAAUUUUAAUACAAUCUGCCACUUGGCGGUGUUUUGAAUUAUAAAAUGACAAAUAUUAGAAUUCUAACACAAAUUAGCAUAAUUGUAAGAAUUGUAAGAAUUGUAAGGAGAUCAGUUAUUUUAUAUUUUCAGAUGAUUCCUUUAUCAACAUAAUAUCUAUAAAAAAAAUUAUCUUUAGCAUUCAAUAUAUUAAUAUAAAUUUAUUUCUUUUUACAAAAUAAUUAAUAAGUAAUCCACACACAUAAAAAAAUUGUGAAUAAACAAUAUAUUACUAUUAAAUAAACAAUAUAUAAACAAUUUAAAAAAUAUAAAUUGUAAUGUACUGAAUACGAUAAUUUUUUUUUAAAAAAAUAUGACAUUCACACGCUUAGAACACAUACAUUCAAUAAGUAAUAUAUUAAUAUUUCAAAUAAAUAAAUAGUCACUUAUAAUAAAUUAUAAAUAAAUUUAAAAAGUUAAUUUCUUAUUUCAAUCAUACAAUUCUAAUUUUGAAGAGCUCCAUUCGUGAAAUGAGAGGAAAAAAAUAUUUAAUAUCAAGUUUCCCAAUACCAAUUCUGAUGUUUGAGUUUUAUUUACACUUACACUAUUUCAAGAUAUAGCAAAAGCCUUUUUCGAUUUUUAAAAUAAAUACGCUUUUGCUUUCGCUAGAUUACUUUUGCUAAACCAAAUUUAUUAUGAUUGAUAUUAUAAAUUUAUAAAUUAGAUAUGUCAAUUUUCUAUUACACAGUUCUUCCUUGAACAUCAAAAAUAGUUUACACUGUAUCAAUUUAGACAAAAUUACUCCCUCUUACUCAACAAUUGACAAUUGAUUUAUGAAGAGUUAUGGCAGAAUUGCGUUUGGAGAAAGUGAUCGGAAAAAAACAAUAAAUAUGUAUUAGUAGGUCCAAAUUUUUACAAUCAUAACUCAUUUUUUAAGUUAUUAAAACAGCAGCACCGAACAGUUUAGGUAAAAUAGUAAAGUUUUAAAUGCAUUUUACAUUUUUUUUUUUUUGUGCAAAAAAAAAAAAAAAUCUUGUAUUUAUUUUGAAUUACAAAAUAAAUAAAUAAAAAAAAAAUAGAAGUGACACAAGCCACAAAUUUCAAACAAGAUACACGAGAAUCACUCCCAUUACUGCAGAAGAAAGCAAGAGAAUGCGAUAAACUUUCUAAAUCUCAAUUGUAUUAAGACUUCUUCCUCUUCAGUGUUAUAUAAAUUGCGAAUUCAUAAUAAAAAAGAAGCAAGAAACAUAUCAAGAAACUAAAAAUCUAUACAAGCUGAUUAAACGCCUUAGUCUCCUCGCAUUCGUCGUAUAUGCCAUCAUCGCCAUUGUUUUUACAGCAAUAACUGUUAGCUCUGAUGAUGCAGCACCAAUACCAGAGGCUGAAGCUGAAGUAAACGCUUGGUUUGAAGCAAAUGUCAAGCCACUGGCAGACCGUAAGGGCACUUUAAAUGCUGACCUUGAAGCGGCUGAAGCUACUCCCAAAACUAUUAAGGUGAGAGCAGACGGAAGUGGAGAGUUCAAGACUAUAACAGAUGCUGUUAAGAGCAUUCCAGCCAAAAAUGCACAACGCGUGAUUGUGGAUAGUGGACCUGGAACCUAUACCGAGAAAAUUACCGUUGAAAAAGAUAAGCCCUUUGUUUCGUUUGUCGGAGUACCUGAGAAGACAAUCAUAGAAUUUGCUGGCACUGCUCAUGAAUUUGGAACUGUGUAUAGCGCAACAUUACAAGUGGAGUCUGAUUUCUUUGUGGGAAGCGGUUUAGUUAUCAAGGUCCAUUUACAACGCUUUAGCUUUUCUUCCGUUAUUUAUGCUUUUCAUUUCUGUCACGUUUUAACAAUUUAUGGACUUACUAUUGCAUUAGAAUACUGCACCUCCGCCUGAUGGAGUAAGACCUGGAGCGCAAGCAGUUGCUUUCAGAAUUGCUGGAAGUAUGUCAAGUUUUUACAAUUGCAGAUUUAUUGGAUUUCAAGAUACAAUAUGCGAUGACAAAGGGUUUCACUUUUGGAAAGACUGUUACGUUGAAGGCACCGUUGAUUUCAUCUUUGGGAGUGGAAAGUCUAUUUAUCUGGUAAUAAAACUUCCAUUAAAACUCAACAUAUAUUGGAUUUUGUUUAUAUGCACAUAGUAUCUUUAUUUCUUGAAUAUCAACAUCAAUAUAUAUUCCAUGCAGAAUACCCAGUUAGAGGUUAUACAAGAUAAGGACAUGACAGUGAUUGUUGCACAAGCAAGAGGAAAUGCUGAAGAUACUGGCUUUUCAUUUGUUCAUUGUAGCNNNNNNNNNNNNNNNNNNNNNNNNNNNNNNNNNNNNNNNNNNNNNNNNNNNNNNNNNNNNNNNNNNNNNNNNNNNNNNNNNNNNNNNNNNNNNNNNNNNNNNNNNNNNNNNNNNNNNNNNNNNNNNNNNNNNNNNNNNNNNNNNNNNNNNNNNNNNNNNNNNNNNNNNNNNNNNNNNNNNNNNNNNNNNNNNNNNNNNNNNNNNNNNNNNNNNNNNNNNNNNNNNNNNNNNNNNNNNNNNNNNNNNNNNNNNNNNNNNNNNNNNNNNNNNNNNNNNNNNNNNNNNNNNNNNNNNNNNNNNNNNNNNNACUGAAGCAGAAGUAAAACCUUUCAUUUCUCUUAGCUAUAUUGAAGGUUCUAAAUGGCUGCUUCCUCCUCCCAAAUUGUGAGGACUAUAUUUAUAGCAGGAAGUAUAUGAAUUUGAGCGCAAUGAUGUUUAGGCGUACAUGAA
rnacentral:lncRNA from 1 species